AAUUUUAUUUGUAUUUUUGUUUAUUUAUAUUAUAAUUUAAUUUGUUUAUUGGAAUGUUAUCUUUAAUUGUUUGUUUGGUUAGUAAUUAUUGUGUAAUUAGUAAAUUUUAUUUUAUGUUGUAUAUUAUAUGUUAAAUUCUUUUGAGGAAUUCGGCAAGGUUUCAUGUCCGCCUGUUUAACAAAAACAUCUCUUCUUGUUAGUUUUUGAAGUAUGGCCUGCCCACUGACUUAUAUUUGUUGAAGGGCCGCGGUAUUUUGACCGUGCAAAGGUAGCAUAAUCAUUAGUUCUUUAAUUGUGAUCUGGUAUGAAUGGCUUGACGAGGCAUGUACUGUCUUAGAGGUUGAAUAUUUAAUUGAAUUUGGUCUUUGAGUUAAAAUUCUUAAAUGUUUUUAUGGGACGAGAAGACCCUAUAGAGUUUUACAUUUUUUUACUUUCUUAUAUUUUGUUUGUUUAUUUUUAUUAAGUGAUUCGAGUGUUUUGUUGGGGUGAUGGGAGGAAUUUAUUUAACUCCUCUUUAUUUUGUAUAUUUUUGUAUAUUUUUUUGAUCCAUUUAUUUUGAUUAUAAGAUUAAAUUACCUUAGGGAUAACAGCGUUAUCUUCCUUGAGAGUUCUUAUUGGCGGGAAGGUUUGCGACCUCGAUGUUGGAUUAAGGUUAAUUUUUGGUGUAGGAGCUGAAAGUGAUUAGGUCUGUUCGACCUUUAAAAUCUUACAUGAUCUGAGUUCAGACCGGCGUGAGCCAGGUUGGUUUCUAUCUAUAAUUUUUUUUAUGCCUUAGUACGAGAGGACCGGGUAUUUGGAAUAAUUUUAUUUAAUGUGAUUGUUAUUAAUAUUUUUACUAUUUUGGCAGAUAAGUGCAUUGGAUUUAGAAUCUAUUAA
rnacentral:rRNA from 1 species